GUGAGGAAUAUUGGUCAAUGGGCGAGAGCCUGAACCAGCCAAGUAGCGUGCAGGACGACGGCCCUAUGGGUUGUAAACUGCUUUUAUAAGGGAAUAAAGUGAGUCUCGUGAGACUUUUUGCAUGUACCUUAUGAAUAAGGACCGGCUAAUUCCGUGCCAGCAGCCGCGGUAAUACGGAAGGUCCGGGCGUUAUCCGGAUUUAUUGGGUUUAAAGGGAGCGUAGGCCGGAGAUUAAGCGUGUUGUGAAAUGUAGACGCUCAACGUCUGCACUGCAGCGCGAACUGGUUUCCUUGAGUACGCACAAAGUGGGCGGAAUUCGUGGUGUAGCGGUGAAAUGCUUAGAUAUCACGAAGAACUCCGAUUGCGAAGGCAGCUCACUGGAGCGCAACUGACGCUGAAGCUCGAAAGUGCGGGUAUCGAACAGGAUUAGAAACCCUAGUAGUCC
rnacentral:rRNA from 1 species